GCCGGGGUAGCUCAGUUGGUUAGAGCGCUGGAUUGUGGAUCCAGAGGUCCUGGGUUCGAACCCCAGCCCCGGUACCA
rnacentral:tRNA from 1 species